GACGUAGGGGGCCAGCGUUGCUCGGAAUUACUGGGCGUAAAGGGUUCGUAGGCGGUGCGGCAAGUCGGGAGUGAAAUCUCUGGGCUUAACUCAGAGGCUGCUUCCGAAACUGCCGUGCUUGAGUGCGGGAGAGGCCAGUGGAAUUGCAGGUGUAGCGGUGAAAUGCGUAGAUAUCUGCAGGAACACCCGUGGCGAAGGCGGCUGGCUGGACCGCAACUGACGCUGAGGAACGAAAGCUAGGGGAGCAAACAGG
rnacentral:rRNA from 1 species